UACGGGGGGGGCAAGCGUUGUUCGGAAUUACUGGGCGUAAAGGGCUCGUAGGUGGCCAACUAAGUCAUGCGUGAAAUCCCUCGGCUUAACCGGGGAACUGCGUCUGAUACUGGAUGGCUUGAGUUUGGGAGAGGGAUGCGGAAUUCCAGGUGUAGCGGUGAAAUGCGUAGAUAUCUGGAGGAAUACCGGUGGCGAAGGCGGCAUUCUGGACCAUUACUGACACUGAAUCGCGAAAGCUAGGGGAGCAAACGGG
rnacentral:rRNA from 1 species